rnacentral:rRNA from 1 species
AGAAUCAACGCUGGCGGCGUGCCUAACACAUGCAAGUCGCACGAGAAAGGGGCUUCGGCUCUGAGUAAAGUGGCGCACGGGUGAGUAACACGUGACUAAUCUACCCUCGAGUGGGGAAUAACUGAGAGAAAUCUCAGCUAAUACCGCAUAACACUUACGAGUCAAAGCAGCAAUGCGCUUGGGGAGGAGGUCGCGGCCGAUUAGCUAGUUGGCGGGUAAUGGCCCACCAAGGCGAUGAUCGGUA